rnacentral:misc_RNA from 1 species
UAGGCGGUGGCCAAGAGUGACA